AUCAUAGUUUUGAUGUCAAGC
rnacentral:piRNA from 1 species